rnacentral:rRNA from 1 species
GUCCACGCCGUAAACGAUGGGUACUAGGCGUCGGGGAGCGACCCCUUCGGUGCCGUCGUUAACACAGUAAGUACCCCGCCUGGGGAGUACGGCCGCAAGGCUGAAACUCAAAGGAAUUGACGGGGCCCGCACAAGCGGUGGAGCAUGUGGUUCAAUUCGACGCAACGCGAAGAACCUUACCUGGGUUAAAUCCAGCGGAACCCCGUAGAGAUAUGGGGGUGCUCGCAAGAGAGCCGUUGAGAAGGUGCUGCAUGGCUGUCGU